rnacentral:rRNA from 1 species
AGAGUUUGAUCAUGGCUCAGAUUGAACGCUGGCGGCAGCUUUAAUACAUGCAAGUCGAGCGAGAAAGUUUCUUCGGAAAUGAGUAAAGCGGCGAACGGGUGAGUAACGCGUAGGAAUCUACCAUUCAGCGGGGGAUAGCUCGAGGAAACUCGAAUUAAUACCGCAUACACCCUACGGGGGAAAGAAGGCCUCUCCUUGGAAGCUUUCACUGUUUGAUGAGCCUGCGUGAGAUUAGUUUGUUGGUGAGGUAAUGGCUCACCAAGACUACGAUCUCUAGCUGGUCUGAGAGGACGAUCAGCCACACUGGGACUGAGACACGGCCCAGACUCCUACGGGAGGCAGCAGUAGAGAACAUUGGACAAUGGGGGCAACCCUGAUCCAGGCAUGCCGCGUGUGUGAGGAAGGCCUUAGGGUUGUAAAGCACUUUAGGUAAGGAAGAAAAGUUAAUAGUUAAUACCUGUUGACCGUGACAUUA